UACGUAGGGUGCAAGCGUUGUCCGGAAUUAUUGGGCGUAAAGAGCUCGUAGGCGGUCUGUCGCGUCGAAUGUGAAAACCCGGGGCUCAACCCCGGGCCUGCAUUCGAUACGGGCAGACUAGAGUUCGGUAGGGGAGUCUGGAAUUCCUGGUGUAGCGGUGAAAUGCGCAGAUAUCAGGAGGAACACCGGUGGCGAAGGCGGGUCUCUGGACAGUUCCUGACGCUGAGGCACGAAGGCCAGGGGAGCAAACGGG
rnacentral:rRNA from 1 species